rnacentral:tRNA from 1 species
GGGGAUUUAGCUCAGUGGUAGAGCGCUUGCCUAGCAAGCAACAAGGCCCUGGGUUCGGUUCUCAGCUCUG